UACGUAGGGUGCGAGCGUUAAUCGGAAUUACUGGGCGUAAAGUGUGCGCAGGUGGCUUCGCAAGUCGAGUGUGAAAUCCCCGGGCUUAACCUGGGAAUUGCGCUCGAAACUACGGAGCUGGAGUAUGGCAGAGGGAGGUGGAAUUCCACGUGUAGCGGUGAAAUGCGUAGAGAUGUGGAGGAACACCAAUGGCGAAGGCAGCCACCUGGGCCAAUACUGACACUCAUGCACGAAAGCGUGGGGAGCAAACCGG
rnacentral:rRNA from 1 species